UCCCUUUUCACUGGUGACAGAUGACAGGACGAGGGGGAAUGGCCUUAAGUUGUGCCAAGUGACAUGUUAUGGGAUCAUAUUUGCCUCACUGCACUACAAUCAAAUUUGGUGGACAUCCUGUCUCUACACAAGGUAAUGGGUAAAACACAUAAUUGUUUGAAAACAUGGAUAGAAAAAAUAUUUUCCAGGUGUCAAUAUCUGAUAAUAGAUAAGUAUGCAUGAUGCUGUAAAAAUUGUCUUGAGGUAUUUCA
ensembl:lncRNA